rnacentral:rRNA from 1 species
GCAUAUCAAUAAGCGGAGGAAAAGAAACCAACAGGGAUUGCCCUAGUAACGGCGAGUGAAGCGGCAAUAGCUCAGAUUUGAAAUCUGGCGUCUUUGGCGUCCGAGUUGUAAUCUGUAGAGGAUGCCUUUGGGUAGCCACCGGUCUAAGUCCCCUGGAACGGGGCGUCACAGAGGGUGAGAAUCCCGUAUGUGACCGGAAGGGCACCCUCCACAAGGCUCCUUCGACGAGUCGAGUUGUUUGGGAAUGCAGCUCUAAAUGGGAGGUAAAUUCCUUCUAAAGCUAAAUACCGGCCAGAGACCGAUAGCGCACAAGUAGAGUGAUCGAAAGAUGAAAAGCACUUUGGAAAGAGAGUUAAAAAGCACGUGAAAUUGUUGAAAGGGAAGCGCUUGCAACCAGACUUGUUGGCGGUGUUCCGCCGGUCUUCUGACCGGUCCACUCACCGUCUGCAGGCCAGCAUCAUCUGGGGCCGCCGGAUAAAAGCGAGGGGAAUGUGGCUCCCCCGGGAGUGUUAUAGCCCCUCGUGCAAUACGGCGAGCCUCGGGUGAGGUCCGCGCUUCGGCUAGGAUGCUGGCGUAAUGGUCGUAAGCGGCCCGUCUUGAAACACGGACCAAGGAGUCUAACAUCUAUGCGAGUGUUCGGGUGUCRAACCCMUACGCGUAAUGAAAGUGAACGGAGGUGGGAGCCUUAGGGUGCACCAUCGACCGAUCCUGAUGUCUUCGGAUGGAUUUGAGUAAGAGCAUAGCUGUUGGGACCCGAAAGAUGGUGAACUAUGCCUGGAUAGGGUGAAGCCAGAGGAAACUSUGGUGGAGGCUCGCAGCGGUUCUGACGUGCAAAUCGAUCGUCAAAUUUGGGUAUAGGGGCGAAAGACUAAUCGAACCAUCUAGUAGCUGGUUCCUGC